AUACGGAGGAUCAAGCGUUAUCCGGAUUUAUUGGGUUCAAAGGGUGCGCAGGCGGACUAAUAAGUCAGAGGUGAAAUUUUGCAGCUUAACUGUAAACGUGCCUUUGAUACUGUUAGACUAGAGUUUAAGGGACGUAACCGGAAUGUGAUGUGUAGCGGUGAAAUGCAUAGAUAUGUCACAGGACGCCGAUCGUGAAGACAGGUUACGAACUUAAUACUGACGCUCAGGCACGAAAGCGUGGGGAUC
rnacentral:rRNA from 1 species